rnacentral:rRNA from 1 species
AUUGAACGCUGGCGGCGGGCUUAACACAUGCAAGUCGAGCGGAGAUGAGGUGCUUGCACCUUAUCUUAGCGGCGGACGGGUGAGUAAUGCUUAGGAAUCUGCCUAUUAGUGGGGGACAACAUUCCGAAAGGAAUGCUAAUACCGCAUACGUCCUACGGGAGAAAGCAGGGGAUCUGCGGACCUUGUGCUAAUAGAUGAGCCUAAGUCGGAUUAGCUAGUUGGUGGGGUAAAGGCCUACCAAGGCGACGAUCUGUAGCGGGUCUGAGAGGAUGAAGCGCCACACUGGGACUGAGACACGGCCCAGACUCCUACGGGAGGCAGCAGUGGGGAAUAUUGGACAAUGGGGGAAUCCCUGAUCCAGCCAUGCCGAGUGUGUGAAGAAGGCCUUAUGGUUGUAAAGCACUUUAAGCGAGGAGGAGGAUACUGAGACUAAUACUCUUGGAUAGUGGACGUUACUCGCAGAAUAAGCACCGGCUAACUCUGUGCCAGCCGCCGCUGUAA